rnacentral:rRNA from 1 species
AGAGUUUGAUCCUGGCUCAGGAUGAACGCUAGCGGCAGGCUUAACACAUGCAAGUCGAGGGGCAGCGGGGAGGAAGCUUGCUUUCUCCGCCGGCGACCGGCGCACGGGUGAGUAACACGUAUGCAACCUGCCCCUGUCAGGGGGACAACCCGCCGAAAGGCGGGCUAAACCCGCGUACAUGCCACCGGGGCAUCCCGGAGGCAGGAAAGGCUUCGGCCGGACAGGGAUGGGCAUGCGGCGCAUUAGGCAGUAGGCGGGGUAACGGCCCACCUAACCGACGAUGCGGAGGGGUUCUGAGAGGAAGGUCCCCCACACUGGUACUGAGACACGGACCAGACUCCUACGGGAGGCAGCAGUGAGGAAUAUUGGUCAAUGGUCGGGAGACUGAACCAGCCAAGCCGCGUGAGGGAUGAAGGUACAGAGUAUCGUAAACCUCUUUUGUCAGGGAACAAAGGCGGGGACGCGUCCCCGGAUGAGUGUACCUGAAGAAAAAGCAUCGGCUAACUCCGUGCCAGCAGCCGCGGUAAUACGGAGGAUGCGAGCGUUAUCCGGAUUUAUUGGGUUUAAAGGGUGCGCAGGCGGUCUGUUAAGUCAGCGGUCAAAGCCCGGGGCUCAACCCCGGCCCGCCGUUGAAACUGGCAGUCUCGAGUUGGAGAGAAGUAUGCGGAAUGCGCGGUGUAGCGGUGAAAUGCAUAGAUAUCGCGCAGAACUCCGAUUGCGAAGGCAGCAUGCCGGCUCCACACUGACGCUGAGGCACGAAAGCGUGGGUAUCGAACAGGAUUAGAUACCCUGGUAGUCCACGCAGUAAACGAUGAAUGGCUGGCUGGCCCGGGGGGAACUGACCCCUGGGUGGCGAAGGGAAAGCGAUAAGCAUUCCACCUGGGGAGUGCGCCGGGCAACGGUGAAACUCAAAGGAAUUGACGGGGGCCCGCACAAGCGGAGGAACAUGUGGUUUAAUUUGAUGAUACGCGAGGAACCUUACCCGGGCUCAAACGCCUCAGGAAUCAUUAGUGAAAACAGAUGAGUCUUCGGACCUGAGGCGAGGUGCUGCAUGGUUGUCGUCAGCUCGUGCCGUGAGGUGUCGGCUUAAGUGCCAUAACGAGCGCAACCCCCACCGACAGUUGCUAACUGGUUAAGCAGAGGACUCUGUCGGGACUGCCGGCGCAAGCUGUGAGGAAGGCGGGGAUGACGUCAAAUCAGCACGGCCCUUACGUCCGGGGCGACACACGUGUUACAAUGGCAGGUACAGCGGGAAGCGACCGAGCGAUCGGCAGCGGAACCCGAAAACCUGUCUCAGUUCGGAUCGGAGUCUGCAACCCGACUCCGUGAAGCUGGAUUCGCUAGUAAUCGCGCAUCAGCCAUGGCGCGGUGAAUACGUUCCCGGGCCUUGCACACACCGCCCGUCA